UACUGGGAGCCAAUGUAGGUCUUUCAGGACCUAAGGUAGGCUCAGGAAGAACAGAAACCUCCCAUGGAGCAGAAGGGCAAAAGCUUGCUUGAUCUUAAUUCUCAGUAUGAAUACAAACCAUGAAAGGGGGGGCCUCAGGAUGCUCCCGACUUUUUGGGUGUGAAGCUGGAG